ensembl:miRNA
GAAAUGCCUCCAUGAGAUCCAGCUGUAGGGCAUUUUCUUAAUUAGUGAUCAAUGGGGGCGGGCCCAUAGUGGGUGGUGCCAUCCCUGGGCUGUUGGUCCUG